CACAAAGGUUUGGUCCUGGCCCUUCUAUUAGUUUUUAGUAAACUUAUACAUGCAAGUAUCCCCGCACCAGUGAGAAUGCCCUCUAAAUCAUCCUGUUGAUAAAAAGGAGCGGGUAUCAGGCACACUCCGCAGUAGCCCAUAACACCUUGCUCAACCACACCCCCACGGGAAACAGCAGUAAUAAAAAUUAAGCUAUAAACGAAAGUUUGACUAAGUUAUACUAAACUACCACAAGGGUUGGUAAAUCUCGUGCCAGCCACCGCGGUCAUACGAUUAACCCAAAUUAAUAGAUUUCGGCGUAAAGAGUGUUAAAGAUAAUACAAAAAAUAAAGUUAAGCCUUGGCUAAGCUGUAAAAAGCCCCAGCCACUGUAAAAUAAGCUACGAAAGUGACUUUUAAAAUUCUGACACACGAUAGCCAAGACCCAAACUGGGAUUAGAUACCCCACUAUGCUUGGCCCUAAACCUAAAAAAUUCUAUACAACAAAAUUAUUCGCCAGAGAACUACUAGCAAAAGCUUAAAACUCAAGGACUUGGCGGUGCUUCACACCCCUCUAGAGGAGCCUGUCUAUUAUCGAUAAACCCCGAUAAACCCCACCAGCCUUGCCAAAUCGGCUAUUACCGCCUCUCCACAACCUAAAAGGCCAACAGUAGCACAAUCACAAU
rnacentral:rRNA from 1 species